CGGCUGAUUUUUGUAUUUUUAGUAGAGAUGGGGUUUCACCAUAUUGGCCAGGUUGGUCUCAAACUCCUGACCUCAGGUGAUCCACCUGCCUUGGCCUCCCAUAGUGUUGGGAUUAUAGGUGUGAGCCACUGUGCCUGGCCAAUAAAGUCAUUUUUUUUUUUUUGAGACGGAGUCUCGCUCUGUCACCAGGCUGGAGUGCAGUGGCUUGAUCUUGGCUCACUGCAACCUCUGCCUCUCAGGUUCAAGUGGUUCUCCUGCCUCAGACUCCCAAGUAACUGGAACGACAGGCACGCGCCACCAUGCUUGGCUAAUUUUUUUUGUAUUUUUACUAGAGACAGGGUUUCACCAUGUUGGCCAGGAUGAUCUUGAUCUCUUGACUUC
rnacentral:lncRNA from 1 species